UACGGGGGAGCAAGCGUUGUUCGGAUUUACUGGGCGUAAAGGGCGCGUAGGCGGCGCAACAAGUCACUUGUGAAAUCUCCGGGCUUAACCCGGAGCGGCCAAGUGAUACUGUCGUGCUAGAGUGCGGGAAGGGGCUACUGGAAUUCUUGGUGUAGCGGUGAAAUGCGUAGAUAUCAAGAGGAACACCUGCGGCGAAGGCGGGUUGCUGGGCCGACACUGACGCUGAGGCGCGAAAGCCAGGGGAGCGAACGGG
rnacentral:rRNA from 1 species